UCCCUGGUGGUCUACUGGUUAGGACUCAGCACUUUCACUUCUGAGGCCCAGGUUCAGUCCCUGGUUUGGGAA
rfam:Sus scrofa chromosome 5.